rnacentral:rRNA from 1 species
GACGAACGCUGGCGGCGUGCUUAACACAUGCAAGUCGAACGGAAAGGCCCUGCUUUUGUGGGGGGCUCGAGUGGCGAAAGGGUGAGUAACAAGAGAGUAACCUGCCCUUGACUGGGGGAUAACGUCAGUAAACUGGGGCUAAUACCGGAUAGGAGCUCCAGCUGCAUGGUGGGGGUUGGAAGGUUACGGCGGUUGGGGAUGGAGUCGGGGCUUAUCAGCUUGUUCGUGGGGUAGUGGCUUACCAAGGCUUUGACGGGUAGCCGGCCUGAGAGGGUGACCGGCGACACUGGGACUGAGACGCUGCCCUGACCCCUACGGGAGCGAGCAUUCAGGGGUUAUACACCAUGGGCGGAAGCCUGAGUCGUCAACGCCGCGUGCGGGUUGACGGCCUCCGGGCUGGCAACCGCUUUCGCCUGGGACGCAACGUGAGUGACGGUAAUGGCAGAAGAAGCACCGGCUGACUACGUG